CCGGCCCUGAUGGCUAGAGGAACCAUCUGGAAGUCUCCAGAGACCAGCAUUUCUGAAGAUGACAAACAGAAAAAAGUGACAGUCCGAGGAGUCAGCAGUGCCCCUGGGAAGGUGUACAAGGAACAGUCCGGGAGAGGCGCUGCCCGGAGCAAGAGCCCCGGGCGGGGGGGCCAAGGCCAUGUGACCUCAUAGCCAGCCCCCGAGGACAGCAGAAGGAGCCUUAGCCAAGACUCAGUUCCACGUCUGCCUGGAAUCCCAGAGCUAAUCAUGGGCCGGAAGGAGACCAGAGCCCCACUUUGCAGGUGCCGGGGAGAAGAGAGCGGGCAGGGAGCCAGAGGGAAGGCCCAGAGGGAGCCCUAUCCUCCCUGCCACCUGCUGGCCCUGACCCUACAGGGAGGGAGCUGACCCCAAUGUCCGAGGGCCCCUUCCCAGGUAAAAGUAAACAUCACAGUCUAUCAACUAUACUUCAAUUUUAAGAAGAGAGAAAACUCUAGAAAUUAAAAUGAAUAAAAAAUAUUCCUCAAUGAACUAGGAGACACGCUGACAAAUCUGGCUAUGGCGCCUAUUGAAUGUGACUAUUCGAGAUCAAUUGUGAUGAAAUCACUGACAAAUCUGCAGAAGUCUUAAGGACAAAAAAAAAGCACCAGCGUUGAUGCUACGGUUCUCCGGUUACUUGGUCACACUUGCAGCUGCUUCUCUUCCUGGCAGCACAAAGGGAAGAUGACUUGCUGAAUCCUCGGGAUGCAGGAAUUCCAGGAGAAAGUACUCAACUAUUACAGACCUCCACCGGUUACUGAGCAGGGCCUUUGGAGAUACAUUUCUAAUAACCUAGAUAGAAUGAAGAGCAGAGGCGUCCUUGGGGGUGAUCUCAGGGACACCAGAAGAUCCCUGCUUCUAAAACACCUCCACCACCUUCCUGGCGGCAGAGCAUAAAAACUAUAAGACAGAGUUUAAAGACAAAGGUAAAAAGAAGAGGACUGCUAGAGCAAGGGGCCAGCUGAUGUGCUGUGAGGCGGGACUAAAAGCACCUACGGAGAACUUGACCUUGGAAAGAACACGGAAGGAGAGACUGGCAUCAAGCACACAGUGCAGCAGCCAGGCUCCCCCCAGGCUCUGCUGCUCUGGAUGUGUAAGCCAUGCUUUUCUUCAGGGGUACUUCGGUAAACAUAAAUCAAACCGGAAGAAGUCAGGAGCAGAGAAGAACUGUGGAAGAAAACUGCAGUUAGAGCAAAUAGCCCGUGCAAAUGCCCUGAGGCAGGAGGUGUGUGCACCAGAGAGAAGACCAGCGCCACUGGAGUGUGGAAGAGUGGUGCAAGAUGAUCCUGGAGGGCUAGGGGCCAUGGAGUCCAUGUGAUUCUUGGUCUUUUGGGGAGGGAAGGGUAGUGUGGUCAAAUUCAUAAUGUCCUGAUUCUCUUUUCUUAUCAUCUGUCCAUCUCUGGCAUAAUCUACUUUAGCGCCUGCAUGUAUUGAUACAGCCACACCUUUUAUUUUUCCUAUUAAUUGCUGGAGCCCCAUAUGUCAGAUUGCUUACGUGUGAAGCCUCCACCUCUAGUCAUCCAAGAACCCUAAAUUCUUACUCAGUCCAAAGGGAACAGAGUUUUCCUUCCAAAUACCCCCAGAGAGGAGGAGAAAGGCUAGUGAGCUCAGUUGUGCAGUCACAGCCUCUGGUCACUGUUCAGCACUGUCCCACUCAGACAGAUCCUCGUGGACUACAGAGGGGAAGGGAGGCUCUGGGGUUAAAAUCAGACUCACUUUGCUCACACCCAGCCACUGUCUCCAGAGCUGAGUCAGGGUGGCUGGGCUGCAGGAGCACCCACCUGUCCAGCCCAACCCUUCACUAGCAGUACAGAAGCCCCUUGAGAACCUGUUGUCCGUCCUGCUGGGAGACCUCACUAGGAUGAUCCUGAUCCUUCAAGAAGCUCCGCAGCAUUGACCCUCCCGGGGGCUGCUGGGCUUCCCUGCAGCCUUGUCACCUUGCUCCCGGGCACUAGCUCUGCAGACCAAGGGGCAACGGUGGAGGCCUUAUUUUCAGGGCACCACAGCUCCCGUUCCUCCAGGCCAACAGACACUGCCCGGCCCUACAUUCGCGUGACCAAUAACCUUUCCCAAGGCCCCUUGCUCUCUCCAUUUCCACACAUACAAGAUGGGAGUCUGUCUUUAUUUUUUUUUUCCCUCUUUACUUAGUAGCUCAUUACUAUAAUAUUAUUAAUAUAAAAAAUAAUGACAUCAGAAAAUAUUAUUAGAAAAAAAUCCCAUGUUUCCUCAACCAAUUAAAGACAUUUACAUCAGCAUGUUUAUCACAAAACUCACAGUUUCGAUGGGUGAACGUGCUCCCUAGAAGUGUGCCUGCUGCAUUCCAUAAAGCCUUAUAGGAUGUGACAGUCCACUGAGCAAGUGGUGGCUCUCGGCCCUGACAUUGGGAGUCCCAUUGUGAAAAGAGUUUUUAUUGUGGAAACAUUUACUCUGAAUAACAUUACUGGUAUACAUCUCCUGAAACUUAAUUGUUUUAGAAAAUAAAAAUUUUAAUGUCUUUAUUUUUUACUAAUAGUAAUAAAUGAAGAAUGCUCUAAAAGCCCUAAAUACCUAUAUAUUCUUAUAUCCGGAAUAUAUAAAGAACUUUCAAAACUCAAUAAUAAACAACCCAGUUAAAAAGCAGGCAAAACAGGUGCCUGGCUGGCUCAGUUGGUAGAGUGUACAACUUGAUCUCAGGAUUAUGAGUUCAAGCCUCACACUGGGCACAGAGCUUACUAAA